UGAUCAUGACUUGAUGGGACAGUGGAUCUGCAAGAGUUCAUGACGGAGACUAAGAGGAUGCUGCUUGCUAUGGCUAAUGGAAUAGGUCUCUUGCCGAUUCAGAUGGUCCUGGAAAAAGAUAGCCUCCUGAAGAAAGCUGUGGAGAAGGAGUCUGCAACUUUUGUAGCUGCGUAAUUUAAUUGGCCAACUUCUUAUACAUUCAUUCUGCUAUGCAUUUGUUACAGCAAACCUUAAUUUUCUUUUUCCUCUUUUUUCUAUGCUUUCCAGUUCUUUCUCGUUUCUGAACUUCCCCUAGUGUAUGCCAAGAUUGGAUCAUUUACAAUGAAAAUAAAUGAGUUUUCUAUUUGUUAUUAGUAAUUGAAGGCUGAAGAUGUCAAAUCAGUUAUAACUUUGAGAACCAUAAUGUAAAUUGUAGCACACAAGCUAAUCUCACUGCUCAUCAAUUAAUAGCUAAAAUUUUGGUUAAAAGUAAAACCAGACACCUGAUUGUA
rnacentral:lncRNA from 1 species